GCCGGAGUGGCGGAAAGGCAGACGCAGGGGACUUAAAAUCCUCUGUCCGCAAGGACGUGCGGGUUCGAAUCCCGCCUCCGGCACCA
rnacentral:tRNA from 1 species